rnacentral:rRNA from 1 species
CGAAAGCCUGACGGAGCAAGACCGCGUGGGGGAGGAAUGCCUUAGGGUUGUAAACCUCUUUUCUCAGGGAAGAAGCUCUGACGGUACCUGAGGAAUCAGCCUCGGCUAACUCCGUGCCAGCAGCCGCGGUAAUACGGAGGGGGCAAGCGUUAUCCGGAAUUAUUGGGCGUAAAGCGUCCGCAGGUGGCGAUUCAAGUCUGCUGUCAAAGCACGGGGCUUAACUCCGUAAAGGCAGUGGAAACUGAAUAGCUAGAGUGCCGUAGGGGUAGAGGGAAUUCCCGGUGUAGCGGUGAAAUGCGUAGAGAUCGGGAAGAACAUCGGUGGCGAAAGCGCUCUGCUGGGCCGCAACUGACACUCAGGGACGAAAGCUAGGGGAGCG